rnacentral:rRNA from 1 species
UACAGAGGGUGCAAGCGUUGUUCGGAAUUAUUGGGCGUAAAGGGAGUGUAGGCGGUCCAUUAAGUCUUCUGUGAAAUCUACGGGCUUAGCCUGUAACGUGCAGAGGAAACUGGUGGACUUGAGUGUCGGAGAGGAUAGGGGAAUACCCGGUGUAGAGGUGAAAUUCGUAGAGAUCGGGUGGAACACCAGUGGCGAAGGCGCCUGUCUGGCUGACAACUGACGCUGAGACUCGAAAGCAUGGGGGAGCAAACAGG